rnacentral:rRNA from 1 species
AACGAACGCUGGCGGCGUGCCUAACACAUGCAAGUCGAACGGGAUCAAGGGGCUUGCUCCUUGAUCUAGUGGCGCACGGGUGAGUAACGCGUGGAUAAUCUGCCCUGGUAUCUGGGAUAACAUCUCGAAAGGGGUGCUAAUACCGGAUAAGCCCACGAGCUCUUCGGAGCUUGGGGGAAAAGGUGGCCUCUGAAUAUGCUACUGUAUCAGGAUGAGUCCGCGUCCCAUUAGCUAGUUGGUGGGGUAAUGGCCUACCAAGGCGACGAUGGGGAGCUGGUCCGAGAGGAUGAUCAGCCACACUGGAACUGAGACACGGUCCAGACUCCUACGGGAGGCAGCAGUGGGGAAUUUUGCGCAAUGGGGGAAACCCUGACGCAGCAACGCCGCGUGAGUGAUGAAGGCCUUCGGGUCGUAAAGCUCUGUCAGAGGGAAAGAAGUGUAGAAUGGCUAAUAUCCAUUCUACUUGACGGUACCCUCAAAGGAAGCACCGGCUAACUCCGUGCCAGCCGCCGCGGUAAGAC